UAGGGAAUCUUCCGCAAUGGGCGAAAGCCUGACGGAGCAACGCCGCGUGAGUGAUGAAGGUCUUCGGAUCGUAAAACUCUGUUAUUAGGGAAGAACAAAUGUGUAAGUAACUAUGCACGUCUUGACGGUACCUAAUCAGAAAGCCACGGCUAACUACGUGCCAGCAGCCGCGGUAAUACGUAGGUGGCAAGCGUUAUCCGGAAUUAUUGGGCGUAAAGCGCGCGUAGGCGGUUUUUUAAGUCUGAUGUGAAAGCCCACGGCUCAACCGUUGAGGGUCAUUGGAAACUGGAAAGCUUGAGUGCAGAAGAGGAAAGUGGAAUUCCAUGUGUAGCGGUGAAAUGCGCAGAGAUAUGGAGGAACACCAGUGGCGAAGGCGACUUUCUGGUCUGUAACUGACGCUGAUGUGCGAAAGCGUGGGGAUCAAACAGG
rnacentral:rRNA from 1 species